GUUUCCUCCUGAGUCAGGCAGAGGAGAGAAAGCAGGGAAAGCAUCAUUUUGUAGAAAUGGACCUGGAUUCCUGUGAGGCAGAGAGGCCUCCGUUGGACACCAGAGAGAGGCCACUGGGUGACAGAAUGAU